AGAUUGAACGCUGGCGGCGUGCUUAACACAUGCAAGUCGAGCGGUAACGCGGGAGCAAUCCUGGCGACGAGCGGCGAACGGGUGAGUAAUGCUUGGGAAUCUGCCCAUUAGUGGGGAACAACCAGCCGAAAGGUUGGCUAAUACCGCAUACGCCCUACGGGGGAAAGCGGGGGAUCGUAAGACCUCGCGCUAAUGGAUGAGCCCAAGUCGGAUUAGCUUGUUGGUAGGGUAACGGCCUACCAAGGCGACAAUCCGUAGCUGGUCUGAGAGGACGACCAGCCACACUGGGACUGAGACACGGCCCAGACUCCUACGGGAGGCAGCAGUGGGGAAUAUUGGACAAUGGGGGAAACCCUGAUCCAGCGACGCCGCGUGUGUGAAGAAGGCCUGCGGGUUGUAAAGCACUUUUAGUGGGGAUGAAAAGCCUAGGGUUAACACCUCUGGGUCUUGACCUAACCCACAGAAAAAGCACCGGCUAACUCUGUGCCAGCAGCCGCGGU
rnacentral:rRNA from 1 species